UACGUAGGUGGCGAGCGUUGUCCGGAUUUACUGGGCGUAAAAGGAGCGUAGGCGGACUUUUAAGUGAGAUGUGAAAUACUCGGGCUCAACUUGAGUGCUGCAUUUCAAACUGGAAGUCUAGAGUGCAGGAGAGGAGAAUGGAAUUCCUAGUGUAGCGGUGAAAUGCGUAGAGAUUAGGAAGAACACCAGUGGCGAAGGCGAUUCUCUAGACUGUAACUGACGCUGAGGCUCGAAAGCGUGGGGAGCAAACAGG
rnacentral:rRNA from 1 species